AUGAUCCCCUGGUGCCCUGGAA
rnacentral:miRNA from 1 species